AUUUUCCUCGUUCAAUCUAACUGAAACAUUCAGAGCCUGGCAGUCAGGGUUCCCAGGUCAGCAUUUUUUCUUUUAUCAGUGGGGUGCCUUUCUGACACCUGGUGACUCCAGCCACUGUGGUGAGGCGAUUAGAAUGGAGCUGGCAAGUUGUACCAGACAGGAUUGCUGCAGUCUGAACCCUGAAGAGGCCAGCAGCAUCACCACCUUUGCCAAUUGAUAAAACUCACCUUCAAGAUGAAAUAUUGCUGAGAAACACUCCUUUUUCUUGGGCCAAACUUAUUUUUACUUUCAGUACUACGGUGGAUUGUGCAAAUGGUCAUCAAGUCUACUCCUCCCUGUUAUCCACACCCUUACACAUAGCUUUGUAGCUCCUCCCAUCCAUAGGUGAAGUCUUCCUCCAUCCCUAUGUCUGGGUUGUCUGCGUGACCUUCUUUGGCCAAUGGAACAGUAGAAAAUGGCAUGUAAGCAGAAACUGGGGAAGCACGUGUCCACUGGAACUUGUCCUAUUGCUGUACUUGGAACCUUCCUGUACCACGUGAGUCAGCCCAAGCUAGCCUACUGGAUGAGGGUUGUCAUGAAUGUAGUCCCUUCAUUCCUGUUGCUGGCCUAUGGCAGCCCAUGUGCAGAAACACAGCCUACAAGCUGAAUGGUAGCAGACCACAGACAUGUAAGGUGAGCCCAGCCAAGGUCAGCGAACAACCAGCCAGCUGAGCCCAACCCAAAUUGGUAAUCCACAUUAUGAGCUAAUAGAUGGCUAUUGUUUAAACUACUAAGUUUUGGCAUAGUUUAUUACGUAGAAAAAAUUAACUGAUUAAUAUAUCCAGCCUCGUGCAUGGAAAGGAAAAUUCCGGCAUGAAUUUCUUAAC
rnacentral:lncRNA from 1 species